rnacentral:rRNA from 1 species
CAGCCGCCACGGGAAUACGUAGGGUGCGAGCGUUAAUCGGAAUUACUGGGCGUAAAGCGUGCGCAGGCGGUUAUAUAAGUCAGAUGUGAAAUCCCCGGGCUCAACCUGGGAACUGCAUUUGAGACUGUAUGGCUAGAGUGUGUCAGAGGGGGGUAGAAUUCCACGUGUAGCAGUGAAAUGCGUAGAGAUGUGGAGGAACACCGAUGGCGAAGGCAGCCCCCUGGGCCAAUACUGACGCUCAUGCACGAAAGCGUGGGGAGCAAACAGGAUUAGAUACCCCUGUAGUCCCUGUCUCUUAUAA